AACGACUCUCGGCAACGGAUAUCUCGGCUCUCGCAUCGAUGAAGAACGUAGCGAAAUGCGAUACUUGGUGUGAAUUGCAGAAUCCCGCGAACCAUCGAGUCUUUGAACGCAAGUUGCGCCCGAAGCCAUUAGGCCGAGGGCACGUCUGGCUGGGUGUCACGCAAC
rnacentral:rRNA from 1 species